UGUAGAUCCAUUCGGUGCCUGCCUUACCCAUGGGAGGCACUGACCCAAAAGGCUGCCACAGCGACAUUGUAACUCAUGGGCCCUGUUCCUUCCUCUCUGCUGACCCUCAGGGAUAAAUUUUGUUACAGACAUUU